GACGAACGCUGGCGGCGUGCUUAACACAUGCAAGUCGAACGGAAAGGCCCUGCUUGCAGGGUGCUCGAGUGGCGAACGGGUGAGUAACACGUGGGUGAUCUGCCCCUUACUUUGGGAUAAGCCUGGGAAACUGGGUCUAAUACUGGAUAGGACCAUGCUGUAGGUGGUGUGGUGGAAAGAUUAGUUUCGGUAAGGGAUGAGCUCGCGGCCUAUCAGCUUGUUGGUGGGGUAAUGGCCUACCAAGGCGUCGACGGGUAGCCGGCCUAAGAGGGUGGACGGCCACAUUGGGACUGAGAUACGGCCCAGACUCCUACGGGAGGCAGCAGUGGGGAAUAUUGCACAAUGGGCGCAAGCCUGAUGCAGCGACGCCGCGUGGGGGAUGACGGCCUUCGGGUUGUAAACUCCUUUCAGCCAUGACGAAGCCCUUGUGGUGACGGUAGUGGUAGAAGAAGCACCGGCUAACUACGUG
rnacentral:rRNA from 1 species